rnacentral:lncRNA from 1 species
GUCAGUAAGAAGCUGAGUGGCCAACAAGCUGAGGCCGGAUUAAAAGGGCUAGCACCCCAUGAAGAAACGACCUGCAUUCAGUGUUGAGUUCCCUUCACUCUGACCCACUCCUUGGCAUGAUUCCUAAUGGAUCCCCGUCCCCACAAUGCAUGCGCAAGUGCGUGCAUGCGUGCGUGGACGACUGAAUAUUACUCGGCUUCAAGAAAGAGAAGACUCUGCCACUUGCUACAUGGAUAAAAUGAAAGGAAAUUAUGUGAAAUGAAAGAUGAAAAAUAUAGGAAAAUUUUUGCAUGAUCUCAUUUAUACGCAGACUUUUUUUUAAAGGUUCUAUACCGAGGCAGGGAAUCAACAGUGGUUUCCUGGGCCCAGGGUGAGACAGGAAAUGGGCAGGUCAAAGGAUAUAAAGCAACAGUUAGGCUGGGUGAGUGAAAGACUAAACCACAUCAGAGAACUAUAGUUGGCUAAUUGUUCUCCCGACUUUUUGCUCUACGUGUUUUGUGCUGGAAAUUUUUGCUGAAAUUGAGUUGUAUUUAGGAUUUCUGUUCUAAGAGUAGAUUUAGAACUACUCUUGCCACAGAGGGGAAAAUGGGUAGCUAAGUGGGACAACUGACCUGUUCAUCUGUCCUACCGCAGAAGCAACUAUCUUAACAGAUUCUGUACUUUAAAUAUGCACCAGAACAUUUAAAUAAAAAGAGGUCUUUGU